rnacentral:misc_RNA from 1 species
GUAUAGUUUUUAAAAGGGUUCAAUCAAGUCCCCUUUAGAAAAGACAUUCAAAAACAUACAUUUAGAGUGUGUGUAGACAUAGAAAAGCCUGAUACUUCAAGGGGGAAUUGCCCCUUUUUUUUUCUCAGACUCUCUACAAAAAGUGCACAGGUGGAUGAAAAUAUCGAAAGAAAGGCAAGCACUUGCCCUAGAAGAGCCAGCUCAACCUCCCUUUACAAUGUUUCAAUAAUGAUCCUUCCGCAGGUUCACCUACGGAAA